rnacentral:rRNA from 1 species
GCUACGGGUGGCAGCAGUGAGGAAUAUUGGUCAAUGGGCUUACGCCUGAACCAGCCAAGUCGCGUGAGGGAAGACUGCCCUAUGGGUUGUAAACCUCUUUUGUCAGGGAGCAAUUGGCGCUACGUGUAGCGUUAUCGAGAGUACCUGAAGAAAAAGCAUCGGCUAACUCCGUGCCAGCAGCCGCGGUAAUACGGAGGAUGCGAGCGUUAUCCGGAUUUAUUGGGUUUAAAGGGUGCGUAGGCGGAAUGCCAAGUCAGCGGUAAAAUCGCGGGGCCCAACCUCGAUCCGCCGUUGAAACUGGCGUUCUUGAGUGGGCGAGAAGUAUGCGGAAUGCGUGGUGUAGCGGUGAAAUGCAUAGAUAUCACGAAGAACUCCGAUUGCGAAGGCAGCCUACUAAACUGCCACUGACAUUGAUGCUCGAAAGUGUGGGUAUCAAACAGGAUUAGAUACCCGAGUAGUC